rnacentral:rRNA from 1 species
UACAGAGACUGCAAGCGUUAUUCGGAUUCACUGGGCGUAAAGGGUGCGCAGGCGGCCAAGUGUGUGAGGUGUGAAAGCCCGGGGCUUAACCCCGGAAUUGCACCUCAAACUACUUGGCUAGAGCAUUGGAGAGGGUAGCAGAAUUCACGGUGUAGCAGUGAAAUGCGUAGAUAUCGUGAGGAAUACCAGAGGCGAAGGCGGCUACCUGGACAAUUGCUGACGCUCAGGCACGAAAGCGUGGGGAGCAAAAGGG